UCCCCCUGGCCCGUGGUCCCCCAGCCCGUGGUCCUUGCCUGGGCCUUCUCCCCGCUGGGCCUCCACAGCAGCCCUGGACUCUCAGAACCCCUUUCCCUCGCAGUCAGCCCAGGGCGCCUCCUCCCUCACCUGCGUUCAGCAAACGUGUGCUGUGCCAUCUCUGCUCCCGGCCUGAGCACGGUCCGUCUGCCGCCUGUCCCCGAGGACCCAGGUCAGCGAGGGGAGCUCAGGGACGAGCAGGGUCGGACAAUCAGCCUGGAAGAAUGAGGUGGAAGAGAGAGCCAAAGGGAUCUUCUAGAGCAACCUUCUACUCCUGCUCAACGUUGCUGGGAAGGGGAACAUUUCUACAGAACCUAAAUGUUCAGUUUUGGGGGGCUGGUUAAACAUCUGGCUACAAUCCAGCGGUGGCCCAUGGACUCAUCCAGGAUAAAAACGCACACCUGCCUAUACACAUAGGACCGUGCCUGCAUGUCCAGCAUUCCGAGCAGACAAGACCAGGGCUAACAGGA